rnacentral:rRNA from 1 species
AGGCUUUGAUCCUGGCUCAGAACGAACGUUGGCGGCAUGGAUUAGGCAUGCAAGUCGAGCGAGAAAUCACAGAUGGAGGCUUCGGCCAAAGUCUGUGAUGGAAAGCGGCGUAAGGGAGAGUAAUACGUAGUUAUCUGCCCUAAGGCCCGGAAUAGCCACGGGAAACUGUGGGUAAUGCCGGAUAAUAUCCCCGGAUCAAAGGUGCGAUUCCGCCUUGGGAGGAGACUGCGUUGUACCAGCUUGUUGGUAGGGUAAUGGCCUACCAAGGCAAUGAUGCAUAGCGGGCGUGAGAGCGUGGCCCGUCUCACUGGGACUGAAACACUGCCCAGACACCUACGGGUGGCUGCAGUCGAGAAUCUUCGGCAAUGGGCGAAAGCCUGACCGAGCGAUGCCGCGUGCGGGAUGAAGGCCUUCGGGUUGUAAACCGCUGUCAGUUGGGAGGAAGGCUUCGUGAAGAGCAGAAGCUGACCCAUCUUCAGAGGAAGUCCGGGGU